UACGUAGGGUGCGAGCGUUGUCCGGAAUUAUUGGGCGUAAAGGGCUCGUAGGCGGUUUGUUGCGUCGGGAGUGAAAACCCAGGGCUUAACCCUGGGCUGGCUUCCGAUACGGGCAGACUAGAGGUAUGCAGGGGAGAACGGAAUUCCUGGUGUAGCGGUGAAAUGCGCAGAUAUCAGGAGGAACACCGGUGGCGAAGGCGGUUCUCUGGGCAUUACCUGACGCUGAGGAGCGAAAGUGUGGGGAGCGAACAGG
rnacentral:rRNA from 1 species